UCGUUCACACGCUAAAAUCUUAUAUAGUCCGUAAAAAAUUCCCACACCAUUUUAAUUCUAUGGGUCAACUGUCAUGUCAAAAGUACGGUUCACCUU